UACGUAGGGCGCAAGCGUUGUCCGGAAUUAUUGGGCGUAAAGAGCUCGUAGGCGGUUUGUCGCGUCUGUCGUGAAAGCCCACGGCUUAACCGUGGGUCUGCGGUGGAUACGGGCAGACUAGAGGCAGGUAGGGGAGAAUGGAAUUCCCGGUGUAGCGGUGAAAUGCGCAGAUAUCGGGAGGAACACCGGUGGCGAAGGCGGUUCUCUGGGCCUGUACUGACGCUGAGACGCGAAAGCGUGGGGAGCGAACAGG
rnacentral:rRNA from 1 species